AGAAGACACGUCCCUUUGUAUAAUUGUAGAAUGUGGCGAAAUCAGCCCCUUCGUUUAUAACUUCAAAUUAAAACUAACCCCUUUGUCAUAAAUCCUUUCAAGGCAAAUCCUAUUGGACUUAGUCUUUACAAAAUGGUCCUUAUGCUGUUUUAAAAGAUCAAAAAUAGUCCCUUUUGGUUUAUUUCAUUACAAAAAGAAAUUCUUUGAGUUUGAUAUUUUACAAAACAAACCCAUAAAUGUUUUAAAGCCCAAGAAUGGUUACUUUGUGGUUAUUCCCGACAAGAUUCACGAAGCAAGCCUAUAUCAAGAUCACGCAUCGAAUGUUAUUUAUAAGGUCAGAAGAGUUUGUACAGAAGAUUCUCCGAUAUUCUUAUCAUACAAAUGUGAACGCCGGAUUAUUAGGCGUGUGUAGCGUUUCAACAAUAACUACUGUCAAUGUAAUUUCCAUUUCGGUAAUAAUAAAAGAUUAAAUUUGUGAUGUUCAAUGUAUGUUCAAUAACUGUGAUUACUGGUUACGUCGCGCACCUCGGCGUUUCCGCCGUCGACCUAGGGUGUGACAGAAUGUAAUAUAGAUAAUAUUUCAUUAAAUAUUGUAUAUAUGUUUGUAUGUUUGUGUUGCUUCAAAGCAAU